AGACAGAUGGCCGAGCGGUCUAUAGCGCUACGUUUAGGUUUCCCUUUAUGAAUCCAACUCGUACCUAGUCUCAAAAGGGGCGUGGGUUGGUUGGAAUCCCACUCUGUUCA